GUCCAUAAUGCAGCUAAACAAGCUCUACUGCUGUAUAACCAAGGCACUCGGGCUCUUCUUUUCUGGACCCUUCAGGCUGCCAGAACAAUGCAAAGGAAAAAUUCAUGAAAAGUGAAAGGCUGGUUUUUGGGUCCAAGAAGAUUAGUUUUAAAGAAACAAAUGAUGAAUGAUUACUUGUUCAUUAUGGUCCUCUCUGUAUAUUUUCUCUUUGUAGUUGGAGGCUGUCGGAGUCUGGAUGGAUGAGGGGCAGAAGGGAGAGGAAGGAUUUGUAUGGGAGUGCAAGCCUGCACUUCCACCUCUCUGGUGUUAAUUUUGUUUAUCACACACUAAGGCUGGAAAAUCUCAAGCCUAUUUGGACUGAAGCUUAGCAUCUGAGUUCUACUGGCAGUCUUAAGGAGAAGUAGUUUAAACACAAGAUGGUAUUUAUUGCUAGCAUGUGAUCAAAAUUACAUUGUUUGAUUUUGAAAGUCAGAUUCAAAUUAAUGCUCCAGUGAAGGACACAGGCAGUUAAACAGGCAAAAGGAUAGAUCUCAUCCCUGGCAUAAAUCUUUUAACUUGUAGCCCUGAUUUCUUGUGCUGGCUUAAGGUACUGCCAUAAGGGAAUUGCGAGAUGGGCGCACCCUGCUCUGCUGUACGUGACCUGAGGGGCUGGGCCUGGAAGUCAGGAGCUCUGAGGGUUCCCUGGACUCACAUCAAGUACAUGAAGAGCAGCAGCCGUCGAGAGGUGGAAUGACUCCGCAGCCAUGGAGCAGCUGCUGGGCAGCUGCCCCAGAGCUCCCUGUGCUUUGGUUGGAGGCAUAUCUCCUGACAUAAUGUGUUAGCGAGACACAAAUUAGCUGCAAAAUGUCUUCAUUAGUAGCUGUUCCUGCAGCAGCUUUGGCCUCGUGGUCAGGUCAUUAUUGAGGUCUUGGUGGAAACCCAAGCUCCAGGACUUCAUGCAUUUUUCAGAGAUGCACAGUCUUCCAGUCUAAGUUCAUUUAUUCCAAUCUGGUUCCAGCUGAGUUCCACUGACUGAUGUGUACAUCAAUCAGCUUCUCUUCUCAACCCUUCUUGGCCUUCCUGCUGCCUGUAUGCGGAAGCUCCUCUGUUUCUGGAAGGGAAUAACUAUGUUUUCUUGUAACCUCUUUAAGAUGGAGCUUACUGUACAGGUAGGGAGGGACUCAAGGGGAGGGUUUUCAGAGGCUGUGCCUCUCUCAGUAAGUAUCACUGCCAGCACGAUGCUGACCUGCCUUCGGUGUCAAGCUGGGCUCAUAUGCAACUACUGCAGUACUGCACAGCGUGCUGAAGCAUCCCAAACAAGGACAGCCAUGUUCAGUUCUCUGGGUGAUCGUUAGGAUUAGAGCUUUUCAAGAAUCUAAACUUAAUCCUUUCUUUUGGUUACCUGGUCUGCCAGUCGCAGCCUGCCUCUGGUCCCUUCACACUGCUCAAAGUCUGGAGACAGAACAACAUGGCUCAGCAGAUAACGUGCUACGUUCCUGAAAGUCCUUCUUUUGUUGGGAUUCUUCCCCUGUUUUUCAUAGGAAGGAAGGAAAGGAAGGGAGGAAGGGAGGAAGGGAGGAAGGGAGGAAGGAAAGGGUGAAAGAGGAAGGGGGGAAGGGGGGAAGGGAGAAAGAGGAAGGGAGAAAGAGGAAGGGAGGAAGGGAGGAAGGGAGGAAGGGAGGAAGGGAGGGAGGGAGGGAGGGAGGAAGGAAGGAAGGAAGGAAGGAAGGAAGG
ensembl:lncRNA